rnacentral:rRNA from 1 species
CCUACGGGAGGCUGCAGUGAGGAAUAUUGGUCAAUGGGCGCGAGCCUGAACCAGCCAAGUCGCGUGAGGGAGGACGGCCCUACGGGUUGUAAACCUCUUUUGCCGGGGAGCAACGGGCGUCACGUGUGGCGCCACUGAGAGUACCCGGAGUAAAAGCAUCGGCUAACUCCGUGCCAGCAGACGCGGUAAUACGGGGGAUGCGAGCGUUAUCCGGAUUUAUUGGGUUUAAGGGGUGCGUAGGCGGAUCGUUAAGUCAGUGGUCAAAUUGAGGGGCUCAAUCCCUUCCCGCCAUUGAAACUGGCGUUCUUGAGUGGAAGAGAAGUAUGCGGAAUGCGGGGUGUAGCGGUGAAAUGCAUAGAUAUCACGCAGAACCCCGAUUGCGAAGGCAGCAUGCCGGCUUCCGACUGACGCUGAAGCACGAAAGCGUGGGGAUCGAACAGGAUUAGAUACCCUAGUAGUC